UACGUAGGGGGCAAGCGUUGUCCGGAUUUAUUGGGCGUAAAGAGCGUGUAGGCGGCUAGGUAGGUCCGUUGUGAAAACUCGAGGCUCAACCUCGAGACGUCGAUGGAAACCAUCUAGCUAGAGUCCGGAAGAGGAGAGUGGAAUUCUUGGUGUAGCGGUGAAAUGCGCAGAUAUCAGGAAGAACACCCGUGGCGAAGGCGGCUCUCUGGUACGUGACUGACGCUGAGACGCGAAAGCGUGGGGAGCGAACAGG
rnacentral:rRNA from 1 species